rnacentral:rRNA from 1 species
UUGACCUCAAAUCAGKCCUGGC